rnacentral:rRNA from 1 species
GAUGAACGCUGGCGGCGUGCCUAAUACAUGCAAGUCGAGCGAUCAGACUUGGUGCUUGCACCUCUCACAUUAGCUGCGGACGGGUGAGUAACGCGUAGGUAACCUGCCUAUUAGAGUGGGAUAACUACUGGAAACGAUAGCUAAUACCGCAUAAUAUAUUGUACCGCAUGAUUCAGUAGUGAAAGGCGCAUAUGCUUCCCCUUGUAGUUGACUCCGCUUCGCUUAAGCUGGUUGGGAAGGAAACGCCUUACAAAGGCAACGUUGCGUAGCCGACCUGAGAGGGUGAUCGCCCACCCUGGAACUGAGACACGGCCCAGACUCCUACGGGAGGCAGCGGUAGGGAAUCUCGCGAAAUGGGCGAACGCUUGCCGGGCCAACGCGGCGUGGUGGAGGAGGGUUUCCGGACGUUAAACUCUGGUGAUUAGGAAGGACGAGUGGGGUAGGGAACUAUGCACGCUUUGACGGUACCUUAUCAGAAAGCGACGGCUAACUACGUG